rnacentral:lncRNA from 1 species
GAGAGGCACUUUUCCCACCACCAUGGCUACUCCAAGAGAUGCAAAUUAAUGGAUACAUAACAAGAAAAGUACUAUGGAAUAAUAUCUCAGUACAGGAUCACAGCUGAGAGACUCUUAUAUGGACAAAGACAGAAACAUUUAUUAUUAUGUAAGAUGGAGGAAUGCUUGUUGAUUUUAUUUUUAAAAAGUAUUUGUUAAGUUGUGGGUGAACAUAUCAGAUGACACAGCGAUUCUUCAAACAGCUCUUGUUUAUUCAGAGGCCAGAACAGAACUGAACUGAAGGGCUCAGUCAGCCUGCUUAUAUAGAGCUCCAGAACAAUGUAACUGUAGCAACUUUCUAAAACUAUCCAAUCACUGAACAUCACUUUCCAUCCUUCAUUUGCAUAACUAUCUACAGUAUCCCCCUGCUGGCCCAGGGUGAGAACUUCAGUACAGUAUUUAUGCAUUUUUAAUAAUUUGAGACAUCCACUUUCCAGUUAUCUUCAUUUAUCCUACAUUCUUCGGCUCCCCCGCACCUCCCUCCAUGGGUUCUUAAUUAAUCCUUGGUUGUGCUGCAUUUCCUUAAUUACCACCCCUCUUCAUGGUUGUUGAAGUUAUUGGAGGCAAAUUUGAGAUGUUUGAUUAGAGAAAAACCAUUGCUGACAUUUAUUACAAUAAUUAGAGAACCCCUUUUGGACUUUUUGUGUGAAAAGGAAAACAAACAAAUUUGAGAAAUUUGGGUCUGAAGAUUGAGAAAAUAUUGCUUAACAGAAAAUAGAACAGUAGGAUGUCACCCUAGACUGGAUGUUUUGAAUAAUUUUAUUUACGUAACUGACAGAGGGAAAAUCAGAAGUCCUCUAUUUUUCUUUCUUUUCUUUCCCCUUUUCUUUCUCCUUUCUUUUCUUUUCCUUUUCUUAUUUUUCUUUUUAUUUGGUGUCCUCUGCUUUGGGUUUAUUGGCGUCCAAGGAUUACACACACACACACACACACACACACACACAAAGGUAGUGGAUGGUUGCUGGCCGAACUCUUAAGUGAGAGGCAGGGCAGGAAAGACCAUCCAAGGUGAGAGAAUGAGAGAAGAAAAGAAAUCUCCCAGGUGAGAACUGGGAGGGUCUCCCACUUUCUGUGUGAGACAAGGGUUAAGAGGUUCUUUUGAGAGAGGACUCUGCAUUUGAUUUUCUCUUUCUUUCUUUGGUUUUGUUUUUAUUUAGAUUGGUUUCUUUCAUCUUACUGUAUUAUGAAAAAGCUUUAAUAAAAUAUUAUGUGGCAAAAAGAGAAAGAACAUGGAGGUCACAGCUUGUAGAGGUCACCAAUGAUGAGGUACUUAAAAAAUCAGCAGAGUGGGGGAAAUGUAAACAAAGAUGUAAAUAAAAGCAUGAAAAUGACUACAGUGGUACCUCGGGUUACAGACGCUUCAGGUUACAUACUCCACUAACCCAGAAAUAGUACCUCAGGUUAAGAACUUUGCUUCAGGAUGAGAACAGGAAUCGGCGGCAGCAGGAGGCCCCAUUAGCUAAAGUGGUGCCUCAGGUUAAGAACAGUUUCAGGUUAAGAACAGAACUCCGGAACGAAUUAAGUUCUUAACCCGAGGUACCACUGUAUGGGGAAAGUAAGUCCACAGGUAGAAGUUUUAAAUCAUCCGAGUUUUUUCAGAAACAAAAAACAAAAUAAUACAUCUGCGUAGAAAAGCACCGGUACAUUUUUUUGGACAACAUGGCGCAACAUUAUGAUUAAUGUACUUCUUUGUUUUAUACAGAAAGGUGUUUCAUGGUGGUGAUUUUGAGAAGCUACAUAUCAACGCUCUGCAGGUAUCUGCCCCAAUUCUGAGACCAGGAAUUUUUGUAUCAAUUAAAAAUAUAGUUGCCUGCUGGGUCAGACCAGUAGCCCAUCUAAGUCCAAUUCAAGGUGGCAACCCAUUGAGGUACCCAUUGAGGCUGUGAGUGGCUGCUUGGCUCAAGGUUACCCAUUUGGUUUUCAUGGCUGAGUGGACCCUGGCUUGGUCCAAGACUAUCACUGCACAACACUGCCUCUGCUUUGGAUGCAGAAGAUCUAAGGUUCAGUCACCAGUAUCUCCAGGUAUGGCUGUGAAUGUUCAAACUCAGAAACUAUGGUGGGCUGCUGUUAGUAUAGAUGCUGAGCUAGAUAUGGACCAGUGAUCUGAUAUUCCUGUGACCUGUUGUUAGGGAGAGUGUGG